CAAGACUGCCUGUCGCCCCGCUGUAGGUUUUACUCAUUGUGCUAGUGCCACAUGAUUCGCUGAUUGGAUAAUUACACGAGCGUGCAGGUGCACAGGUGUUCCUAAUAAAGUGGACAGUGAGUGUAUAUCAUAAAUCGAAAUAUAUCAAGCUGCUUGUUAAGGACAAAAAAUGUAAUGUCUAUCUAUUAGAGGUUAGAUAAUAACUUUGGCUUAGCUCACCAACACUGUAGAUGACCAUGUUUAAUUCAUUAAUUAACAUGAAAUUGUAGAGGAACAUAAAUGAUCAUUUAAAAAAAACAGAUGUCUUUUCAUAACAAACAGCAUCACAUCAAACACCUGCAUUGUCAACUUGUUACACAACUCUCUUCCCAGAGUGAUAUGUCUCGUCAGGACGUGGCCACACCCCCUUCUGUGUUACAGCAGGAGGUCUGUUGUCAUGGUUACCCACAACAGCUCUUCAACUGGCAGCUUUAAUGCCGAGCCACAUAAAGCUAGCCAGUGAAGAACGACUGUGAAGCAACGCCAGGCCAGCUGACGCCUGUCACUCAGACCCAUGAGCAACUCUUCUUCGGCUAAUAGACCUCCAUCAGUGUCAAACUUUCAAACUCUAGUACAAAGACCUACGGAUUUGAUCUUUUAAAGACAGAUGUGAAUGAGGGCAUGAAGCAGUAAGAGAUGCUCAACUACAGUGAUGGGAUUACAGUUUCCUUUCACUGGAAAUAAGAGGUCUAAACAUGUUCCAGCAUGACAAUACAUCUGUCCACAAAGCCAGCUCCAUGAAGACAUGGUUUCCAAGGUUGGAGUGGAAGAACUCGAGUGUCCUGCACAGAGCCCUUGACCUCAACCCCACUGAACACCUUUGGGAUGACCUGGAACACCGACUGCACCCCAGACCUCCUCACACAUCAUCAGUACACCUCACUAACCGAAUGAACACAAAUCCCCACAGCCAUGCUCCAAAGUCUAGUGGAAAGCCUUCCCAGAAGAGUGGAGGUUAUUAUAACAGGAAAGGGGGAAUAAAUCUGGAACGGGAUGUUCAUGGGAUGUUCAGCUUACAAUCACUGCAGCAUCCCUAAAUGCACAAAUAAUUCAAACAAAGAAAGGAUAUCUUGUUCUGCAAAAGGUCAAUAAAGACAAAAACAUUAGGUAAACACAUUGUAUUACCAAUAUAAAUUGUUUCUUUUUUUUUCUUUUUUUGAAGAUUAAAUUAAUAUAAAAUAUUGUUAGGAUUCCAAAACAAAGACAGAAAAGAAGUGAGUUUUGCUCUUCAACUUACAUUUGUAAAUAUAAAUUGUAUAGCUCAGAAUAACUAUUAAAUUCCUUAAAAACGAUUUGUUUAUCUUAUUGAAAACAUCAAUAAAUCUAAACAUAUCUUGAAAAAUCUUACCAGAAGCUCACUGUGUAAUAACAGUACCACAAGAAG